rnacentral:lncRNA from 1 species
UCGAUAUUCAUGCAUGAUCCAAUUGGUCUUCAUCCCCUUAGGAGGCCUUCCUUUGUAAAAAACCAGAGCUUUCUUCACACCAAUAUUCUCUUGCACUUCUCCUCUUCUAUCUGCCAUUGAAGAGGUAACUAUAACCUUAUCCGUGCCGGUUGCUUUCCAGUAGCCGGAGGCUGCUGCCCUGUUCGGCCUUGCACCGUUAGGGUACUUACGAUCUCUAGGACUGAAAAAGUACCAUUCUUUCUCA